GCGGACGCGGCUCUCGGGAUAACAGCGGGCGCACGCGGCGAGCGCUCAGUGAGCGGCGAGGCGGCGGCGGGUAGCCCUGCCUGGCCGGUGAGAGCCGCGGCCCCGCCGUGGGCUGGGCUGAUACUUCCAUGGCGAUCCCUUCCCCGGAGGAGCUGUGAAGAGCACGGGAAUGCCGUGAUGGACGGCGAGACGGGAGUCACAGCUGAAAACGAUUCGUGUUUGUAUUUUGGUGCGCAAUAAAAGAUUUAAUGCUUAAAA